GAAUAUUGGACAAUGGGCGAAAGCCUGAUCCAGCAAUGCCGCGUGAGUGAUGAAGGCCUUAGGGUUGUAAAGCUCUUUUACCAGGGAUGAUAAUGACAGUCCCUGGAGAAUAAGCUCCGGCUAACUCCGUGCCAGCCGCCGCGGUAAUACGGAGGGAGCUAGCGUUGUGCGGAAUUACUGGGCGUAAAGCGCGCGUAGGCGGCUAUUCAAGUCGGGGGUGAAAGCCCGGGGCUCAACCCCGGAACUGCCCUCGAAACUAGGUAGCUAGAAUCUUGGAGAGGCGAGCGGAAUUACGAGGGUAGAGGUGAAAUUCGUAGAUAUUCGGAAGAACACCAGUGGCGAAGGCGACUCGCUGGACAAGUAUUGACGCUGAGGUGCGAAAGCGUGGGGAGCAAACAGG
rnacentral:rRNA from 1 species